rnacentral:rRNA from 1 species
AUGCCUCCAGGAAGGGUGAUGGCCCCAGCUCCAGGACAAAAAAAGAGGAUCCUGGAACCUGAUGAACCUGCCCAUGAUAGAGUCACAAAGCAGAAAGCAAAGAUGGCGACUACGACGGACCAUCAGGUAAGUCUGCUGCACAUGGACUCUGACACCUUGGUGCAAAUGGGUGAUGAGUUGCCGCCCAUGGAUGAAGAUGCAAUGACUACCAAGACUAGACUUAGAAAGGGCAAAGGGCUAGAGAGAAUCACCAAGUCGCUUGGUAGCAAGGUGCCUAUCCAAAUUGCCGAAGGGAUGAAGCGUCCAGAGAAGCCUCUGCAGACAGCAAAGCUUGCUUCUGAGUGUGGACUCGUUGCAAGAAUCCAUCUUCCGGUUCUUCCUCACUUCAAGCUAUAG